AGCAGCCGCGGUAAUUCCAGCUCCAAUAGCGUAUAUUAAAGUUGUUGCAGUUAAAAAGCUCGUAGUUGAAUUUCGGGAUUAAUUUACUGGUCGUGCUAUUGUACGUACUGGUUUUAUUGAUUCCUCCCUUCUGACGAACUAUGAUGCCAUUAAUUUGGUGUCAUAGGGAAUCAGGACUGUUACUUUGAAAAAUUAGAGUGUUUAAAGCAGGCUCACGCUUGAAUACAUUAGCAUGGAAUAACGGAAUAGGACGUUUGAUUCUAUUUUGUUGGUUUCUAGGAUCGACGUAAUGAUUAAUAGGGAUAGUUGGGGCAUUAGUAUUCAAUUGUCAGAGGUGAAAUUCUUGGAUUUAUUGAAGACUAACUACUGCGAAAGCAUUUG
rnacentral:rRNA from 1 species